AUGGGGGACAGGGUCCUCUUCACGCCGGCGCAGAGGAGCUGCGGGUCCCUGGCGACGGCGGCGGCGACGUCUGCGGUGGAGAGUCCGAGGCCGGCGAGGAAGGCGAGGACGGCGUCUGGCUUGGUGGGGGAUCUGAGGUGGGAGAGCUUCGUGGAGGCCUUCAGCGCCUGUGCUGGGGUGAGGCCGCAGGUGUCGACCAGGUACUCCUCGACCGCGAAUCCGGUGAUUCCGGUGCGUGGGGAAACGGGGGGUGCGGCGGCCGAAAGGAGACGGCAGAGAGGGGAAGGGGAUCUGUGGCAGGUGGUGGGAGAGGAUAGAAGGUGGGCGAGGAUGCAGCUUCGGAGGCGGAGCAUGGCGCAGACGACGGCGAGGCGGCGCCGGCGGCGAGGGCAACGAGCGCCGCCGGUUGGUGAGAGAGAUGCCCAACUUGUGAUUGGCAGGUGA
rnacentral:rRNA from 1 species